rnacentral:rRNA from 1 species
GUUGACCUCGGAUCAGGUAGGGAUACCCGCUGAACUUAAGCAUAUCAAUAAGCGGAGGAAAAGAAACCAACAGGGAUUGCCCUAGUAACGGCGAGUGAAGCGGCAACAGCUCAAAUUUGAAAUCUGGCGCAAGCCCGAGUUGUAAUUUGUAGAGGAUGCUUCUGGGCAGCGGCCGGUCUAAGUCCCUUGGAACAGGGCGUCAUAGAGGGUGAGAAUCCCGUAUGCGACCGGCUGGCACCCGUCACGUAGCUCCUUCGACGAGUCGAGUUGUUUGGGAAUGCAGCUCUAAAUGGGAGGUAAAUUCCUUCUAAAGCUAAAUACCGGCCAGUGACCGAUAGCGCACAAGUAGAGUGAUCGAAAGAUGAAAAGCACUUUGGAAAGAGAGUUAAAAAGCACGUGAAAUUGUUGAAAGGGAAGCGCAUGCAACCAGACUUGCGGGCGGUGUUCCGCCGGUCUUCUGACCGGUCUACUCGCCGUCCGCAGGCCAGCAUCAUCUGGGUGCGCCGGAUAAAGGCGUGGGGAAUGUGGCCCCUCGGGGUGUUAUAGCUCCACGCACAAUACGGCGCCGCCCGGGUGAGGUCCGCGCUUCGGCUAGGAUGCUGGCGUAAUGGUUGCCUGCGACCCGUCUUGAAACACGGACCAAGGAGUCUAACAUCUAUGCGAGUGUUCGGGUGUCAAACCCCUACGCGGAAUGAAAGUGAACGGAGGUGGGAAGCUUCGGCUGCACCAUCGACCGAUCCUGAUGUCCUCGGAUGGAUUUGAGUAAGAGCAUAGCUGUUGGGACCCGAAAGAUGGUGAACUAUGCCUGAAUAGGGUGAAGCCAGAGGAAACUCUGGUGGAGGCUCGCAGCGGUUCUGACGUGCAAAUCGAUCGUCAAAUUUGGGUAUAGGGGCGAAAGACUAAUCGAACCAUCUAGUAGCUGGUUCCUGCCGAAG